rnacentral:rRNA from 1 species
GAUGAACGCUGGCGGCGUGCCUAAUACAUGCAAGUCGAGCGAACGGACGAGAAGCUUGCUUCUCUGAUGUUAGCGGCGGACGGGUGAGUACCACGUGGCUAACCUACCUAUAAGACUGGGAUAACUUCGGGAAACCGGAGCUAAUACCGGAUAAUAUUUUGAACCGCAUGGUUCAAAAGUGAAAGACGGUCUUGCUGUCACUUAUAGAUGGAUCCGCGCUGCAUUAGCUAGUUGGUAAGGUAACGGCUUACCAAGGCAACGAUGCAUAGCCGACCUGAGAGGGUGAUCGGCCACACUGGAACUGAGACACGGUCCAGACUCCUACGGGAGGCAGCAGUAGGGAAUCUUCCGCAAUGGGCGAAAGCCUGACGGAGCAACGCCGCGUGAGUGAUGAAGGUCUUCGGAUCGUAAAACUCUGUUAUUAGGGAAGAACAUAUGUGUAAGUAACUGUGCACAUCUUGACGGUACCUAAUCAGAAAGCCACGGCUAACUACGUG